CACCGCUGCAAGAGGGGAAGUUGCUACUGUGAUGAAUUCUGCCAUGUGGCACCAGACUGCCACCCAGACCACAGUGUCCUCUGCAACCCUGCUUCUCAGAUGACCAAGAUGGUGCUGCAGAUGGUGCUGAGGAUGGAGAACCCACCAAGCCCCGCUAGGAGCCACCUAGACUGGAUGCAGAGCAUGGCCCAUCAGAAACUCAAAAGAAUGCGACCUUUGUCUCUCACCCACCUGUGACCUGGAAGCUUUCUCCUGGCUGCGAGUUGUCCCACGUUUGCUUGGCGUUGCCCGGCCUUUUCCAGACUGAACCAAUGUUCAUCUUACAUGUGUUGAUUGAUGUCUCAUGUCUCCCUAAAACGUAUGACCACCUUGGCACAUGUCGUCAGGACAUCCUGAGGCUGUGUCACGGGUGUGCAUCUUCAACCUUGGAACAAUAAACUUUCUAAAUUAACUGA
ensembl:lncRNA MUC20-OT1 MUC20 overlapping transcript